AUUGAACGCUGGCGGCAGGCCUAACACAUGCAAGUCGAACGGUAACAGGAAGCAGCUUGCUGCUUCGCUGACGAGUGGCGGACGGGUGAGUAAUGUCUGGGAAACUGCCUGAUGGAGGGGGAUAACUACUGGAAACGGUAGCUAAUACCGCAUAACGUCGCAAGACCAAAGAGGGGGACCUUAGGGCCUCUUGCCAUCGGAUGUGCCCAGAUGGGAUUAGCUAGUAGGUGGGGUAGCGGCUCACCUAGGCGACGAUCCCUAGCUGGUCUGAGAGGAUGACCAGCCACACUGGAACUGAGACACGGUCCAGACUCCUACGGGAGGCAGCAGUGGGGAAUAUUGCACAAUGGGCGCAAGCCUGAUGCAGCCAUGCCGCGUGUAUGAAGAAGGCCUUCGGGUUGUAAAGUACUUUCAGCGGGGAGGAAGGGAGUAAAGUUAAUACCUUUGCUCAUUGACGUUACCCGCAGAAGAAGCACCGGCUAACUCCGUG
rnacentral:rRNA from 1 species